rnacentral:snRNA from 1 species
AGCUUUGUGCAGUUGCAGUAUCGUAGCCAAUGAGGUUUAUCUGAGGUGUGAUUAUUGCCAAUUAUAAUGAAAUGUAUUGAAUUUUAACAAUUUAGAAAUCAGA